AAUAACAAUCUCUCACCUGUAUCUCUCUCCACACUCUCUCUCACACAAUCUCUCACCGCCUCUCGCUCUCUCACUCUCCUUCGUCUCUCCCACGCAACCUCAGUCUCUCUCUCUCGGUUUUUCUCUCCCUCGCGCAUCUCCUUCUCUCCGCUUCUUCCCCCUCGGCCGCCCUUCUUCGCUGCCUUCCGGCAAUCUCUGCCCGGCCGCGUCUCCGGCCGCUGUUCCCGGUCGCGGGUUCGCUCGCCGCCGGCCUCACCCCUUUCUCCCGUCGUUUUGCUGCUGUGUAUAGGAUCGAGCAUUAAGGGCGUGAUACCAAGCAAAGGCAAGAAAAGGUGAGAGUUGUAUAGCGGUUCAGUAGUUACGGAUUGUUCGAGACGAGUAGAACCAGACGUUGGGGAUCAAGACGGAACUUAGAUAAGAUUCGUAUCAGGCUACAGCAACCGCAUGAGCGCCAUAGCAGAGAAUCAGGAAUAGUUGAGGGUGAUGUCUUGAGAAAGCAGAAUAAGAUAAGGAUGUUAGCUAAGAGUGUAUAAGCUAAGGACCAAAGCUAAGGACAGAGAUGAAUUACUGAUUAGGCUGCGCUUGAGAGUGAUGCUAAGCUGCAAGGAUUGCAAGUGGUUAAGUUAUACAUCAGAGAUCAGGUUGGGUGUUUUCUGAUUUCAAUACUGUAACCUGGAUGCGAUCCUGUUUUUAGGGGGUUAAAGUGUUUCCAAUUAAACCUUUUAUUAAUGCUUCAGGUUUUAAGUUA